rnacentral:misc_RNA from 1 species
GAAAUGCGAUAAGUAAUGUGAAUUGCAGAAUUCAGUGAAUCAUCGAAUCUUUGAACGCACCUUGCGCUCCUUGGUAUUCCUUGGAGCAUGCCUGUUUGAGUAUCAUGAAAUCUUCAAAGUAAAUCUUUUGUUAACUCAAUUGGUUUCUACUUUGGUAUUGGAGGUCUUUGCAGCUUCACACCUGCUCCUCUUUGUUCAUUAGUUGGAUCUCAGUGUUAUGCUUGGUUCCACUCGGCGUGAUAAGUUAUCUAUCGCUGAGGACACUGUAAAAGGUGGCCAAGGUAAAUGCAGAUGAACCGCUUCUAAUAGUCCAUUGACUUGGACAAUACUUUUAUGAUCUGAUCUCAAAUCAGGUAGGACUACCUGCUGAACUUAAGC